UACGUAGGGUGCAAGCGUUGCCCGGAUUUAUUGGGCGUAAAGGGCGCGUAGGCGGCUCGGCACGUCCGUUGUGAAAUCGCCCGGCUCAACUGGGCGGGGUCAGCGGAUACGGUCGAGCUUGAGCAAGCUAGGGGGUAAUGGAAUUCCCGGUGUAGUGGUGGAAUGCGUAGAUAUCGGGAGGAACACCAGUGGCGAAGGCGGGUCUCUGGGCCGAUACUGACGCUGAGGAGCGAAAGCGUGGGGAGCGAACAGG
rnacentral:rRNA from 1 species